rnacentral:tRNA from 1 species
GGUAGGAUGGCCGAGUGAUAGGCGGUGGCUUGUAGCUCCAUAAACAGAGGUUUAAUUCCUCUUCUUACCA